CUAAUGGUUUUAUUCAAAACUAUAUUUUUGUUACAAUACAGAAUUCU
rfam:Schistosoma curassoni strain Dakar, Senegal genome assembly, scaffold: SCTD_contig0006591